GGAUUGAGGCAAUCUGGCUGCGACAUUUGUCACCCCAUUGAUUGCCAGGGUUGAUUCUGCUGAUCUGGCUGGCUAGGCGGGUGUCCCUCACUGCUCCAUGUGUGUCCCUCCCAAAGCUGCACGCUUGGUCGACAAUCAUCCCUGAUAAAAGAGGACCGUUCUUUGGUCAAGGGUAUACAAGUAGCUAUGCUCCCCUGCUAGAACCUCCAAACAAGAUCUCAAGAAAUAAGAUCAUUCAAUGAACAAAGGAUAAUCUUUUCAACAAGCAUUAUAAAACCUGCAUAU
rnacentral:snRNA from 1 species